GGGCCCUUAGCUCAGCGGUUAGAGCAGGGGACUCAUAAUCCCUUGGUCGUCCGUUCAAAUCGGACAGGGCCCACCA
rnacentral:tRNA from 1 species